UCUCAUGAUCAGCGGCGGACGGGUGAGUAACACGUGAGCAACCUGCCUUUCAGAGGGGGACAACAGUUGGAAACGACUGCUAAUACCGCAUAACAUUGCCGAACGGCAUCGUUUGGCAAUCAAAGGAGCAAUCCGCUGAAAGAUGGGCUCGCGUCUGAUUAGAUAGUUGGUGAGGUAACGGCUCACCAAGUCGACGAUCGGUAGCCGGACUGAGAGGUUGAUCGGCCACAUUGGGACUGAGACACGGCCCAGACUCC
rnacentral:rRNA from 1 species